AUUGAACGCUGGCGGCAGGCCUAACACAUGCAAGUCGAACGAGUGGCGGACGGGUGAGUAAUGUCUGGGAAACUGCCCGAUGGAGGGGGAUAACGACUGGAAACGGUAGCUAAUACCGCAUACCAUCGGAUGUGCCCCGAUGGGGUUAGCUAGUAGGUGGGGUAACGGCUCACCAAGGCGACGAUCCCUAGCUGGUCUGAGAGGAUGAUCAGCCACACUGGAACUGAGACACGGUCCAGACUCCUACGGGAGGCAGCAGUGGGGAAUAGUGGACAAUGGGCGAAAGCCUGAUGCAGCCAUGCCGCGUGUAUGAAGAAGGCCUUCGGGUUGUAAAGUACUUUCAGCGAGGAGGCGUUACUCGCAGAAGAAGCACCGGCUAACUCCGUGCCAGCAGCCGCGGUAAUAC
rnacentral:rRNA from 1 species